GGAUUCCCCUAGUAACUGCGAGUGAAGCGGGAAAAGCUCAAAUUUAAAAUCUGGCAGUCUCUGGCUGUCCGAGUUGUAAUCUAGAGAAGUAAUGCCCGUGCUGGACCGUGUAUAAGUCUCCUGGGAUGGGGCGUCAUAGAGGGUGAGAAUCCCGUCUUUGACACGGACUACCAGUGCAUUGUGGUAUGCUCUCAAAGAGUCGAGUUGUUUGGGAAUGCAGCUCAAAAUGGGUGGUAAAUUCCAUCUAAAGCUAAAUAUUGGCGAGAGACCGAUAGCGAACAAGUACCGUGAGGGAAAGAUGAAAAGAACUUUGGAAAGAGAGUUAAACAGUACGUGAAAUUGCUGAAAGGGAAACGCUUGAAGUCAGUCGCGUUAGCUGGGAAUCAGCCUUGCUUUUGCAUGGUGUACUUUCUGGUUGACGGGUCAGCAUCAAUUUUGACCGCUGGAAAAGGACCUGGGGAAUGUGGCAGCUUCGGCUGUGUUAUAGCCCCUAGUCGCAUACAGUGGUUGGGAUUGAGGAACUCAGCACGCCGCAAGGCCGGGUUUCGACCACGUUCGUGCUUAGGAUGCUGGCAUAAUGGCUUUAAGCGACCCGUCUUGAAACACGGACCAAGGAGUCUAACAUGCCUGCGAGUAUUUGGGUGGAAAACCCAAGUGCGUAAUGAAAGUGAAAGUUGAGAUCCCUGUCGUGGGGAGCAUCGACGCCCGGACCAGAACUUUUGGGACGGAUCCGCGGUGGAGCAUGUAUGUUGGGACCCGAAAGAUGGUGAACUAUGCCUGAAUAGGGUGAAGCCAGAGGAAACUCUGGUGGAGGCUCGUAGCGAUUCUGACGUGCAAAUCGAUCGUCAAAUUUGGGUAUAGGGGCGAAAGACUAAUCGAAUCCAUGCAGUGC
rnacentral:rRNA from 1 species